UAAUGGUACUGUCCAGAUUGAAAGAUGGACAAGUUCAUUAUAGAAAUUUAGCAGGGUAAGUGUUAAGUUGCAUCACUUGAUAAUUCCUGCUAUUACAGGUAUAAAGACAAGUGAAGUAUACAACUUUCAAGAGUGACUGCAUUAAACUACAUCAGAAAUCAUUCAUACCCACAUGUAUUUAGACUGACCAGAAAUGAAAAUGUGAAGGCAAUAAUAAAAUACAAGAAGUGGACAACUGACAAGCUGUAUUGAAAAAGACAUUAAUGGCAGCCAAAGACCUUCCAUUGUGACAACUUCAGAAUUUGAUCAUGUGACCUAAGAAACAGGGAAAUGCUGAAAGUUGUAAAAGCAAGAAAUGCAAUAACUUGUUUCAGGUUUGACAAGCCAUGGGUGGUCUGUUCUGUUCCAAAGAUGACUAAGGAACAUGACAAGCCAUGGGUGGUCUGUCCUGUUCCUAAGAUGACUGAAAACAGGAUGCAGCUUUAUGGCAUUUAAGAGAGGAGAACAAUUAUACAUAUGGUAACAGUGUGUGAGAGUUUGGGCAUGUAACAAAACCGAGCCUGUCUUGUGCCUCACAUAUUCUGGACAAGGAUGAGAUCUGACCUACCACCAUGCUGUAUAUACUGUGGAGAUAAGAAACACCUGCUGGAAGAUACAGAUCUGUAUAUCACAAAACUUUGUUAAAAUUUUGUGUGUACAUUCACUGUGUACAACCUAUCAAUGAAAUGAUAGUGAUGCCAAAACUUUGGUAGUAAAUUCUUCAAGAAACAAAAAAGAUGUUAUAUAUGUGAUACACCUUCAGUGUUUACUGAAAAAUGAAUUCUGUGUAAAAACAUGUACGCUAGUGGAGUCGAUUCUCAUUCCGACAUAUUUAUUACAAUAUUGUGAUAAAUUCAAAAGAAAAAUUAUUGAAUAACAUUAAUACACAUAUUGAUAAACAUGUGACAUGAUGUGCUUUAAGUUUUGAGACAGAAGAUAUUUGAAUGAAACCAUUUUAGUCAGUUGUAUUCUUAUUAGAAUUAUUGUUCAGAUGUAUAAAAUUUUCAAACAAGUUUUUUUUUUCACCCUGAAGAAGGCUCUGUUAGUAUUGUAAGAAGUCCAAAAGUUGGGCUUAAAUUAACAUUGUCAAACUAAACCUGCUUUGGUAGUGUGGUUACAUUACAUUUCCAUGUCUUAUUAAAGUAAAUGUUAAGCCAGUCUAAUUUGUUAAAAUAUUAUGCCUCCCCUUGGGAUUAAGGCAAUGUUGAGGCAUUUUCUUUCAGUGCCCUAACUCUGGUCUUGUUUCAGUUGAAUGGUUUUCCCCAAACUGUCGUAGGUUUGAGUUGCAAAAGGGGUACAAAUAAUGAUAAAUGAAAUUAGUUAAGGAUUUACUUACAAAACGCUCCUGUAGUCUUCAAAAUCUGUAGAAAAACUAUCUAAUGUGUUAACCACACAGUGAAAUUUUGGUUACUGUGUAAUUUUUAAAGUACCGGUACUGUUCACUUCAAAUCAAUUCAUACCCACUUCUUUACAGGUCAAAGUGUAGAAAAACUUUUGCUUGGUUCAUGUAAAAUCUAACCGCUUCUUAAAAAGUCAGAUUUGAGGAAAAAAAGAAAAGAAUGCA